rnacentral:rRNA from 1 species
CCCUUAGAUGUUCUGGGCAGCACGCGCGCUACAAUGGUCUUCGCAAACGGAUGCAUUCUCGAAGGAGAAUGCCAAUCUUGGAAUCUAUGCCUUGGUCGGGACAGUUGCUUGCAAUUUUUCGACUCGAACCAGGAAUUCCUUGUAAUCGUGAUUCAUCACAUCACGAUGAAUACGUCCCUGCCCUUUGUACACACCGCCCGUCGCUCCUACCGAUCGAAGAGUUAGGUGAAUUGUUUUGAUCGAUAAGAUUUGACUAUGGUCAACUCUCGUUGUGAAAUUCUGUGAAUCUGACUGUUUAGAGGUAGGAAAAGUCGUAACA